AUAGUAUAAAAUAGAAUGUUUCUCUUAACCCGGAGAUUGGCAAGCCAGUAGAUCGGCUAGUGCAAUAUUAGCAUUCACGACCUCAUCUAUAGUAAAUAAACUACAAUUCGGAGCUCCAUCCUAUUUGGAGGUCCGAUCGAGGGUGAGAUUCAGCGGCGAGUUCAGCAGCCAUUGCACGCACCUUGUCAACAAAAACAACAGGUCACUCAUUAUAGUGUUUGUCUCUGCGAAUUCCACAAUCAGGAGGGGAAAAUACAGCGUCCCGCAGGAUCUCCAUUCCAAAGUUUGCAUCAUUCGGCUGGGGCCGAAAUUAAACAAACACCGUUCCUUCCGGCCAGUACCGAAGUUGUAAGCAAAGCAGAAGAUGGAUCGAAACGAUAGCUUGGCGUUAUUUCACGGACCAAUAGUGGAGAUAAAGACGUUUAUCGGUACGAAUGCAAGCGGGACUAUGUUAAUCUGGAAUUAUGUAUAACAAAGCCCGAGACCUCGCUCGAGACGAAGCUGUUACCAGCAAAGAGCAACUGUGAGACUGUGUACGAUGCUAGAACUUGCACCUUGGUAUCUGGACCCACGGACCCACACUCUUAUAUUUCUCCCUUAUUAUACAACAUUAGUUGCUAUGUGCAUACAUUGUACCAAUUGUAUAUUAACUUCGAGUUAUAUUUUUUUAUUUGAAUAAAUUCUGAUGAUCAUGUGUUGAAAAAAAAAAUUUAAUUUAAAAAAAAAUAUGUAUAUAUUUAUUUUCCCAAACAAACAAA